UAGAAUUCGCUUUUCACCGGCGGCCUUAUAGUUUAAAUUUAACUUUUUAAUAGCCCAAUAAGCCUUAUGUUCUAACUCCACCGGGAGGUGACACGAUUUACCAUAAAUAAGCUUAAAUGGGGUUGUUCCUAUGGGAGUUUUGUAAGCGAUUCGAUAUGCCCAUAAAGCUUCGGGUAAUUUUGAUGACCAGUCUUUCCUCGAUUUAGCGACAGUUUUUU
rnacentral:lncRNA from 1 species